GUAACGUCCACUCCAAAUGGGUCAAUAGACAGAAACGAAUGUGAAAGUUAAAUACAUCUGUGUCCAGACUUGACCUAUUCCAGAACAUUUUAUUUUACUUUUGGUAAAUACACUUGCUGAAGAUUUGUCUGGACAAUAUCUUUUUUUGGUAAAGUGAACGCUAACUGGAGAAAAUCAGAGCUACUGCAUUCCAUCGAUAAAAAAGUCAACCACCAGGAUAGAAAUAUGACAUCCAGAGCAAGGAGAAGAAGAAGCCAAGAAGUACCUCCCAACUUUGGUGAAGGAAAUCAACAAGAACAAGACGAUGGAUUCGAUUGGAGGAAUAUACUUCUCAUUGGGAUGGGCGUUGUGGGAGCAGUAGGAGCACUAGCAACCGGACAACCAGGAGCAGCAGGACUAAUAGUAGCAGCAACAGCAGGAAUAUACUAUAUAAGGAAAUCA